rnacentral:lncRNA from 1 species
CUAAAAGGGACAUCUGAAAAGGUUUCUGCUGCAGGACACUGCUUAGCACUGAGAGCAAACCAACACCGUGCCUGAAGGAUUACCAGCUCUCUUGAUUCCUCGCAAUGCUACCACAGGACCUCAUCCCUGGACACAGAGAUCUCAACCCAGAGCUCUUGGCACGCUGCAGACUGUGCAGGCUGAGUUGAAGAUCCCUCUUAUUCUCCGGGUACCGAGAACUAUGAACAAACCGGGCAAUAAAAGGACCACCAAAGAAGGAUCCGGUGAUUUGAAAUUCCAGAACUUCGCUCUGCCAAAAAUUAGGUCGUGGCCAGGCGUCAAUAGUGCCAUUGGCCCCUACCACACCGUCACGGCUCCUCGGCCCAACUGCGAGAGGAACACAACUGCAGCCCUGGACAGAGCAAAAUUCCCUGCAGACACCAACUAUGAAGACCCCGAGCUUCAGAUGGUCGAUGUGUGGCCAUCGGUGAAGAUUUUACCAGCCCGACCCAUAAAGGAAUCAGAAUACGCAGAUACCCGCUGUUUCCGGGACGCCUCCUCUCUGCAGUACGCCACGCCUGUAACACCCCCUCCAAGACGAAUGCCGAAUCCGAGACUGCAGCCAGAGGAGAUGGACAAACCCUUUUCCAAGGAAACGAGAAGCCAGCAUGUCACAGGAGACAAAUCCAUACAGGGAAACAAGACCCCUAUACCACCUCCCAGGCCUCCCCCCACCCUCCCGAAGAAGUACCAGCCCCUGCCGCCCACGCCUCCAGAGAACUACACAUCUACCCUACAGCUGCACGUCUUCCCAGAAGCCCAGAGGGGCCCCAGGUGAGACCUGUGGCCUUGCUACUGAGCGGUGCCCCAGAAGAUCACGGGGGGGGGG